rnacentral:lncRNA from 1 species
UCACAUAUCGACAACCAGUAAACUACAACUCACUAUCCUAACAAAAGGAAAGCUAUGUCGGUCCGUAUACUCCGUAGUUUUCGCACAUGGAUGCAUAUCAUGAUGAUCAUAUAAGAAUGCAUGAGGUUUCAAACAAUGGGUGGGGAAACAGGUGCGGUACUAGACUAAAAAUGAGUCUAGCCAUUCAGAGUUAGCAAAGAGUGGUAAAAGUGAUGCGAACAAAACUCUGAAUGUAUGAUCCAUUACAUGAUUCUCAAGCCCCUAAGUGAGAUAAAUUAAGUCCAGAUUAAGUUCAAGUAUAUAAGAUUAAGCUCAAUUCAUCCAAAUUUCAAAGAGAUAGGGACUACUAUAAAGCGAUCAAGUGAUGGAUUUUCCUGAACUUCCAAGUCAUCAGCGAGUAAAGCUAAAAUGGUCCCAAAGGCAAUUAAAUCAAACAUGGUGCAAUUCCCUAAGAAAAGAUCAUAGUUCUCAGACAACAUUUUGACUCAAUAAAAGACAUGAUUUUGACUCGAUAAAACAAACUCGAUGACUCAAAAGAAAAACAUCAAAAAUGCAAACUAGAUUAGUAGACAAGUGGCAGCCUCCCCCCGACUUGCUUCACACCGACUCGGCGUGAAAACAGUUCAAAGAAAAGGUGCCACACGGACGCAAGAAAAUAAAAAUAAAGAGAAAAGAAAAAUGGUAUAUAACAAGGGAAGAGGGUGAGUUACUGUAGUACUCAACGGUGGUGGGUGGGGCUCUCGCUAGAGCUCUGCUCCCCUGGCUGUCUCCUGCUCCUGCCUAAGCGUGUGUCUGGAGAAUGCUCUUGUGAACGCUGCGAAGUCGAAGCUCUACUCUGUCCAGCAGCAGGGAUCAACCUCUCAGCAUGUCGAUCCCCGGCAACGGCGCCAACUUGAUUGCUCGAGUAAUUAACUCAAUACACUUAACCGAUAGGCAGUAUAUUCGAGGUCGAUCCACAAGGACCAAAGAUACUCUAAGGAUUUUCGAGACUUGUUCUUAGCUAAAACUAAAAAGUUGUUUUGUUUGAGUUUUCCGAAUUGUAAAAUAAAAAUGCAAUUAUUAAACGAUUUAAGUUUCAAGAUUUAAAGACAUUAGGCAUUAGGGUAUUUCAGAGAUCAAUAAACAAUGGAAACAUGGGACAAAGAAUUCAACAAUUACGAACCGUUCUUGAACAUGAACACAACUUAGACUAAUUCUCUUUCAAGACAUUAAUCACUAAAUUUGACUACUCGAUUACUAAACUUUCGCAUGUAAUUUCCUAGUCAAAUUCGCAUUAUCAAACAAGUUCAUUUAGUUCACAAUGCGUCCUAACUUCAACUUUCGUUGGCUAGAAAUACAUUGCUCAAUUCACAUUCUUUCAGGCAUUCUAUCGAACACUUUUGAUGCAUAGAAAAACCUAGGUUCUACAACAGGGUGAUCAAUCCUAUUCUAGCAUUAAGAACAUGUGAAUCAAAGAACCUAGAGAAUGAGAAUUCCAAACAACAAUUAAUCCAUUAAUCUAUCGAAUCUCCUAAUUAGAACCCUAACACCUAAUUAAAAGACUACUCACACAUAGCAACAGAAACAAGACAAAUAGAUGAAGAAGUCAUAAUUGAAUUGCAAUGAAAAUAAGAAAUAGGGUUUAGAAAUCUUCUCCAAAUUGUCAAAGAGGAUGAAUCUCUAGAAUCCCAAGGUUGCUUACAAGAGAAAAGUCUUAGAAAAAUUGCAGAAAGAAAACGUCCCAAAGAAAAUUAGGUCUCUGGGGUUUUUAUACCCAAGUACAAAAAAAGGAAGACAAAACCCGGUUUAGGAAAACCGUCUCGGGACGUCGAGGCUCGGAUCGAUCGAUCCCAUGGGUGGAUCGAUCGAUCCAGAUAUGCUGAAUCAAUUGGUCUUGGACGGAUGAGGGUUGGAUCGAUCGAUCCCCUCCUGGGAUCUAUCGAUCUCGAGCUACUGGAACUUUUGGCUUCAUCGUCACAAUUGGGAUCGAUCGAUCCACGCCUUGGAUCGAUCGAUCCCCAGCUCCUGGUGAUCUCUUGUACCGUUUCUCCAUUGUUUUAGCUCCGAAUAGGCUCAAUCAUGCACAAGAUGCUCCGAAUCCAGCUCGAGCACCUAUAACCUGCAAAGGACUCAAGACACAACCGAAAAGACGCAAAAGACGGAUUUUGACACGAUAGAUGACUCAAAACAUGGACUAAACCAAGACUCGAAACCGUUAAAAACGCAACACAUCAAACUCCCCCCGACUUAAAUCUUUGCUUGUCCUCAAGGAAAGCAGAAAUCCUUAUCAAGAGAAGAGGUUUGAAAACACGAGAACUCACAUUUUCUUCGGGAUCAUGUUCUAUCAAUUGCCUGCAAACCACUAUCACACAACUCAUCAAACCGUACUAGACUGUACUUCGCCAUAACCGUAGCAACAAAAUUAAGUCCCGAAAUCUAAAAGAAUUUUCAGAAUCAGAUAACUUAACCUUUUAACAUUCAUUAGCAGUGGCGUGUAUUCUCACAAAGGGGGUAUCGAACACGUUAUGGGCUUGGUCAAAAAGGGCUAAUAUUUAGUGGCUCAAGGUGUUUCGGGUACUCAACAGUAUAAACGGAUGCACGUCAUUAUGCGAAAUCACAGUGAGACACAGACCAACUAGGAGGUACAUAGCUUCCCUUAAGCUCGGAUCAAAUCAACAAACAUAUUAUCCCAAUCAAACCAAUGACUACCCAUGAUGCUUAACAAUAUAACCAAUGGUAACUCGACAUUUCCGGUUCCAAUCACUCUCCUUUCCCGCUUCUUCUUUUCAUUUUCGUUUUUUUUUUUUUUUUUUUGAAGCGGGGGAGUGGAACCGGUGUCUCACAAAAAUCUGCAUCAAGAACAAUCGCAAACAGCAGCAUACACCCAUGAAUAUAACCUCUAAACCACAAUGGCUCAAUCUCAUCACAUAUCGACAACCAGUAAACUACAACUCACUAUCCUAACAAAAGGAAAGCUAUGUCGGUCUGUAUACUCCGUAGUUUUCGCACAUGGAUGCAUAUCAUGACGAUCAUAUAAGAAUGCAUGAGGUUUCAAACAAUGGGUGGGGAAACAGGUGCGGUACUAGACUAAAAAUGAGUCUAGCCAUUCAGAGUUAGCAAAGAGUGGUAAAAGUGAUGCGAACAAAACUCUGAAUGUAUGAUCCAUUACAUGAUUCUCAAGCCCCUAAGUGAGAUAAAUUAAGUCCAGAUUAAGUUCAAGUAUAUAAGAUUAAGCUCAAUUCAUCCAAAUUUCAAAGAGAUAGGAACUACUAUAAAGCGAUCAAGUGAUGGAUUUUCCUGAACUUCCAAGUCAUCAGCGAGUAAAGCUAAAAUGGUCCCAAAGGCAAUUAAAUCAAACAUGGUGCAAUUCCCUAAGAAAAGAUCAUAGUUCUCAGACAACAUUUUGACUCAAUAAAAGACACGAUUUUGAUUCGAUAAAACAGACUCGAUGACUCAAAAGAAAAACAUCAAAAAUGCAAACUAGAUUAGUAGACAAGUGGCAGCCUCCCCCCGACUUGCUUCACACCGACUCGGCGUGAAAACAGUUCAAAGAAAAGGUGCCACACGGACGCAAGAAAAUAAAAAUAAAGAGAAAAGAAAAAUGGUAUAUAACAAGGGAAGAGGGUGAGUUACUGUAGUACUCAACGGUGGUGGGUGGGGCUCUCGCUAGAGCUCUGCUCCCCUGGCUGUCUCCUGCUCCUGCCUAAGCGUGUGUCUGGAGAAUGCUCUUGUGAACGCUGCGAAGUCGAAGCUCUACUCUGUCCAGCAGCAGGGAUCAACCUCUCAGCAUGUCGAUCC